CUGGCAAUGAAGCAUGGCCUGUCCCUUUUGCUGUCCAGAAAUCUCCCAAACUUGUGGCCGGUAACCUCUUCCUUUCUAUCCUUUCCGAAGAUUCCCUUUGGAUGGAAGUCAGCUGUGAAUGCUCUCCUGAUUUGCAUUCAAUUGUAUAAAUUGUCAUAGCAUGUCACCACGGAGACUUCCUUGUUCGUGUCUAUAUGGUUCAUACAUGGCCUUCCCCUUAAUUAAAGAUGUCUUCCGAGGAACAUUUUGUCUAAGGUAAGAAUCCUUUCCAGACUCCUAACAUCAUAGGCUUUUAAAACAUUGGAGCCAGGAAAAAUAU
rnacentral:lncRNA from 10 species